rnacentral:rRNA from 1 species
CGCGGCCUAKCAGCUUGUAGGNGNGGUAACGGCUCACCAAGGCGUCGACGGGUAGCCGGCCUGAGAGGGUGACCGGCCACACUGGGACUGGGACACGGCCCAGACUCCUACGGGAGGCAGCAGUGGGGAAUAUUGCACAAUGGGCGCAAGCCUGAUGCAGCAACGCCGCGUGAGGGACGACGGCCUUCGGGUUGUAAACCUCUUUUAGCAGGGAAGAAGCGAAAGUGACGGUACCUGCAGAAAAAGCACCGGCUAACUACGUGCCAGCAGCCGCGGUAAUACGUAGGGUGCAAGCGUUAUCCGGAAUUAUUGGGCGUAAAGAGCUCGUAGGCGGUUUGCCACGUCUGCUGUGAAAACUGGAGGCUCAACCUCCAGCCUGCAGUGGGUACGGGCAGACUAGAGUGCGGUAGGGGAGAUUGGAAUUCCUGGUGUAGCGGUGGAAUGCGCAGAUAUCAGGAGGAACACCGAUGGCGAAGGCAGAUCUCUGGGCCGUAACUGACGCUGAGGAGCGAAAGGGUGGGGAGCAAACAGGCUUAGAUACCCUGGUAGUCCACCCCGUAAACGUUGGGAACUAGUUGUGGGGUCCAUCCCACGGAUUCCGUGACGCAGCUAACGCAUUAAGUUCCCCGCCUGGGGAGUACGG